GACUGAGACACGGCCCGGACUCCUACGGGAGGCAGCAGUGGGGAAUAUUGGACAAUGGGGGCAACCCUGAUCCAGCCAUGCCGCGUGUGUGAAGAAGGCCUUUUGGUUGUAAAGCACUUUAAGCAGUGAAGAAGACUCCAUGGUUAAUACCCAUGGACGAUGACAUUAGCUGCAGAAUAAGCACCGGCUAACUCUGUGCCAGCAGCCGCGGUAAUACAGAGGGUGCAAGCGUUAAUCGGAAUUACUGGGCGUAAAGCGAGCGUAGGUGGCUUGAUAAGUCAGAUGUGAAAUCCCCGGGCUUAACCUGGGAACUGCAUCUGAUACUGUUAGGCUAGAAUAGGUGAGAGGAAGGUAGAAUUCCAGGUGUAGCGGUGAAAUGCGUAGAGAUCUGGAGGNAANUACCNGAUGGCGAAGNGCAGCCUUCUGGCAUCAUAUUGACACUGAGGUUCGAAAGCGUGGGUAGCAAACAGGAUUAGAUACCCUGGUAGUCCACGCCGUAAACGAUGUCUACUAGUCGUUGGGUCCCUUGAGGACUUAGUGACGCAGCUAACGCAAUAAGUAGACCGCCUGGGGAGUANCGGCCGCAAGGUUAAAACUCAAAUGAAUUGACGGGGGCCCGCACAAGCGGUGGAGCAUGUGGUUUAAUUCGAUGCAACGCGAAGAACCUUACCUGGUCUUGACAUAUCUAGAAUCCUGCAGAGAUGCGGGAGUGCCUUCGGGAAUUAGAAUACAGGUGCUGCAUGGCUGUCGUCAGCUCGUGUCGUGAGAUGUUGGGUUAAGUCCCGCAACGAGCGCAACCCUUGUCCUUAGUUACCAGCGGGUUAAGCCGGGAACUCUAAGGAUACUGCCAGUGACAAACUGGAGGAAGGCGGGGACGACGUCAAGUCAUCAUGGCCCUUACGACCAGGGCUACACACGUGCUACAAUGGUAGGUACAGAGGGCAGCUACACAGCGAUGUGAUGCGAAUCUCAAAAAGCCUAUCGUAGUCCAGAUUGGAGUCUGCAACUCGACUCCAUGAAGUAGGAAUCGCUAGUAAUCGCGGAUCAGAAUGCCGCGGUGAAUACGUUCCCG
rnacentral:rRNA from 1 species